UGCGUAGGUGGCCAGGAAAGUUUGAUGUGAAAGCCCCGAGCUCAACUCGGGAAUUGCAUUGAAUACUACUUGGCUUGAGGAUCGGAGGGGAGACUGGAAUUCUCGGUGUAGCAGUGAAAUGCGUAGAUAUCGAGAGGAACACCAGUGGCGAAGGCGAGUCUCUGGACGAUUCCUGACACUGAGGCACGAAAGCUAGGGGAGCAAACA
rnacentral:rRNA from 1 species